GUGUCUGUAUUAUAGUGGUCAGUACUUCACGUUGUGGCCAUGACAUCCCGGGUUCGACUCCCGGCAGGCGCA